GCGUAGUGGCCGUGGGCAUCUGGUUACUCUUGCGAGAGAAGGCCGGGUUGCUUGCGCGUUUUGCGAGAAAGGAGGCGCCGGCGCCGGUCGUAGGUCCAGGUCCAGGUCCGGGAGCCAAAGACACGGGCGUGCAAAGUGGCCGGUUAAGCUUGUCAAGGGUAAAAGGGGCACGCAGGAGGGAAGGGAAGGGGAAAGAGAAAAGCGAGGCCGCAGCCGCUGCCGCCGUCUAGACGCGGCCCGGAUCCUACCACUUGCAGUUGACCCUCGACGUCCCGACGACGGUCGUGUUGGUCCAGCAGAAGUAGCGGCGGCAGCCGCAGAGGUGGCAGCAGUAGGAGCGGGACACCUCCUGCAAGGACGAGUGCGGAAAGUUCGAGUAGUGGCAGAAGGAGGUGCUCUGGUCGGUGCGGGAGCGGACGUUCGAGUGGACGCCUCUACAACUCCCUUACGUCCAGGUACGAUUACUCCCACCACAAUGUGUUUGAGCGCCACCGUAAAUGACCUAUUAGAANNNNNNNNNNNUAGACCCAAGUAGUAAAACCCCUUACCACAAGUAUGAAAGUAGGUGUGUAGAGGACCGAUGUUCUUAACGCCGACCAACGAAGUAUGAACGUAAUUAAUAACAAGAGAAACAACGGUUUUUAACCAAAGACGCGACCGAGACGUAACCAAAGUAGUAUAAGUAACGACAACAAACCCAAUAUGUUCUUAAAUGUUGAAAGGUACAAGACUUCAUACAAUAAGAUAAGUAUCCACAAUACUUGUCGAAUAAAAGUCAAAUGCUAUAGAUACUACUGUGGUAUAGGGCUUCUCACUUAAGUUCACUACGACUCUUUAAACGACUUUAGACGGGAACGGGAACGUUACCGCAACCUACCCCACAAUAUACCCCGAAGUAGAGUAAAUAAAAAGAGACACGCAGCUAUAUAGAACCUGACCAAUAUAACAGGACUCCCGAAGGUGGAGGGGCAUAUGGUAAAACUGGACUGUCCCGUCCGCCACGAACAACAAACAAAGGUAACCAGGCCCGUAACCGACGUCGAACAUAACUAGGUACCACCUGUCCAACAUGUUUUAAAUAUGUAUCCCGUUAGUCAAAUACGGUAUUAAUUCCAACUAACUUUAACCUAUCCCCGUCAAUAAGUACGCUAAGAACGCAAAUAUCGAGUACAUCUACCGUAAAAAGAACGUAAACUAUACGUGUCGACUAUAUCAUAAUACAACAACAACUCUACCAUAAGUACCUGGUUGACUUUGAAUCCCGGAGAAACUAAGCAUCCUAACGUUUUUGUGUCCUUAUCCU
rnacentral:rRNA from 1 species